rnacentral:lncRNA from 1 species
ACGAUAUGUGCAAUAACCAACUUAAAGACAAGAUAGUGUGUAUGCAUAUGUUGAUAGUAGAUACAGAAAUGCUAUGUACCCGUAAGGUAUCUAAAAGAUGUCUUAGAAAACAAGUACGUAGGGUACAUUCAAGUUUGAUAUGGUGUGGAUCACAUUGAGGCAUUUAAGCAUGGAGCUGAUUUUGGGUGAAGUUCAUGUAAAAGCUGUCCUUAGCACCUUUAGGUUUAGGCUUGGUAGUUUGGCUCUCCUCUAUGUAUUAUCCUUUUUGGACACUGUAUUUUGGACCCUUUUGCUGUUCCAAGGACCUUUUGUGGUUGUAAUCUCUUUAGAACUUUUGUAUGUACCCUCUUAUCUUUUGUGAAAACAAAAAUGUGAUCAAUUCUUUUGACAGCAAACUUUUGGCUCCGAUCAGUCGUCAAGAAUUUGAUG